AACGAACGCUGGCGGCAGGCUUAACACAUGCAAGUCGAACGCCCCGCAAGGGGAGUGGCAGACGGGUGAGUAACGCGUGGGAAUCUACCUAGUUCUACGGAACAACUGAGGGAAACUUCAGCUAAUACCGUAUACGCCCUAAGGGGGAAAGAUUUAUCGGAAUUAGAUGAGCCCGCGUUGGAUUAGCUAGUUGGUGGGGUAAUGGCCUACCAAGGCGACGAUCUAUAGCUGGUCUGAGAGGAUGAUCAGCCACACUGGGACUGAGACACGGCCCGGAGUCGUACGGGAGGCAUCAGUUGGGAAUAUUGGACAAUGGGCGCAAGCCUGAUCCAGUCAUGCCGCGUGAGUGGUGAAGGCCUUAGGGUUGUAAAUCUCUUUCAGUGGGGACGAUAAUGACGGUACCCACAGAAGAAGCCCCGGCUAAUUUCGUGCAAGCCGACGCCGUAAAAC
rnacentral:rRNA from 1 species